GGCCGAAAGGGGAGCGGGGUUGGCCCAGCAGCGCCUGCCCCUUUUCCUUUUUUUUAUUUCUUUUCUCCAAAUUCUUUCUAAAUUCAUUUGGACCAAUUUAAAAUCAUUUUCACCUCUUGCUCCCAAAAACAAAGUUGUUCUAAAACAAAAACCCUACAACUUUGUUUUAAUAAGCAAGACCAAAUUCCCAAUAGAAUUUGAAUUACAAAUUAAAACUAGU
rnacentral:lncRNA from 1 species